GAUGAAGAACGUAGUGAAAUGCGAUAAGUAAUGUGAAUUGCAGAAUUCAGUGAAUCAUCGAAUCUUUGAACGCACAUUGCGCCCGUCAGUAUUCUGGCGGGCAUGCCUGUUCGAGCGUCAUUACGCCCCUCAAGUCCCCUGUGGACUUGGUGUUGGGGAUCGGCGAGGCUGGUUUUCCAGCACAGCCGUCCCUUAAAUUAAUUGGCGGUCUCGCCGUGGCCCUCCUCUGCGCAGUAGUAAAACACUCGCAACAGGAGACCGGCGCGGUCCACUGCCGUAAAACCCCCCAACUUUUUAUAGUUGACCUCGAAUCAGGUAGGACUACCCGCUGAACUUAAGCAUAUCAAUAAGCGGAGGA
rnacentral:misc_RNA from 1 species